UACGUAGGGUCCAAGCGUUAUCCGGAAUUACUGGGCGUAAAGCGUGUGUAGGCGGGAGUUUAAGUGCAAUGCGAAAUCUUGUGGCUCAACCAUAUAGACUGUAUUGCAUACUGGACACCUUGAGGAUGGCAGAGGCAAGUGGAAUUUGUAGUGUAGCAGUGAAAUGCGUAGAUAUUACAAGGAACACCAAUGGCGAAAGGCAGCUUGCUGGGCCAUAUCUGACGCUGAAACACGAAAGCGUGGGGAGCGAACAGG
rnacentral:rRNA from 1 species